rnacentral:rRNA from 1 species
AUGGCCCAAGCGCCUUUAAAGACUUCCUACAGGAGGAGAAAUUGUACACAUUUGUCGGUUUCAGCAUUGGAGGUGACAAGCGGAUGCUGGGGGAGUCUGGUUUGGAAGUCAACCCCAACAACUUCAUCGACAUGCAGCGCAAGUGGAAAGAUCCAAAGACCAGCAAAUACUACGACUCCUUGGCCAAUGUUGCAGGCGGCGUCAUCCACCCAUUCUACGAAGGCAUGA